rnacentral:rRNA from 1 species
CCCUUAGACGUCCUGGGCCGCACGCGCGCUACACUGAUGUGUCCAGUAAGCACCUAACCUCUUCCGAAAGGAACGGGUAACCUUUGCAAAGCACAUCGUGAUGGGGAUAGAUUAUUGCAAUUAUUAGUCUUGAACGAGGAAUUCCUAGUAAGCACAAGUCAUCAGCUUGUGUUGAUUACGUCCCUGCCCUUUGUACACACCGCCCGUCGCUCCUACCGAUUGAAUGUUCCGGUGAGCUCUUCGGACUGCGCGGUCUGCAGUUUCUGCGUUCCGUGCGGAAAGUUGCGCAAACCUUAACAUUUAGAGGAAGGAGAAGUCGUAACA